GUCUACGCCAUGCCACCCUGAACAUGCCUGAUCUCAUCUGAUCUCGGAAGCUAAGCAGGGUCGGGCCUGGUUAGUACUUGGAUGGGAGACCACCUAGGAAUACCAAAUGCUGUAGACA
rnacentral:rRNA from 1 species